ensembl:snoRNA SNORD22 Small nucleolar RNA SNORD22
CCUUGGUGAUGACACCCGCACACGUCUUACGCCUUGUGUUAUUGCCAGAACCUGAAAAGGUGGACCCACUGGCAUUACCUUGGCAAGAAGGGGAAGACCUGUUGGGCAUCAACAGUCUGAAUGGA